rnacentral:rRNA from 1 species
CAGCAGCCGCGGUAAUACCAGCGCCACAAGUUGUGACCAUAUUUAUUGGGCUUAAAGCAUCCGUAGCCGGAUGAUUUAGUUUCUAGUGAAACUUAGUAGCNUAACUAUUAAGCGUGCUAGAAAUACUAAUUGUCUAGAGACUGGGAGGAGUCAGGAGUAUUCCUGGGGUAACGGUAAAAUGUUAUAAUCCUAGGAGGACUAUCAGUGGCGAAGGCGCCUGACUAGAACAGGUCUGACGGUGAGGGAUGAAAGCUAGGGGAGCAAACAGGAUUAGAUACCCUGGUAGUCCUAGCUGUAAACGCUGCUCGCUUGGAGUUGCGUAUUCUUCGGAACACGCAGCACCGUAGAGAAAUCGUUAAGCGAGCCGCCUGGGAAGUACGGUCGCAAGGCUGAAACUUAAAGGAAUUGGCGGGGGAGCACUACAAGGGGUGAAUGCUGCGGUUUAAUUGGAUUCAACGCCGGGAACCUUACCAGAAGCGACAGCAGAAUGAAAGUCUGUCUGAAGGGCAUACUUGACGCGCUGAGAGGUGUUGCAUGGCCGUCGUCAGCUCGUGUCAUGAGAUGUUCGGUUAAGUCCGAAAACGAGCAAGACCUAUGCUUUUAGUUGCUAUUAUUCUUCUUAGAGUAAGCACACUAGAGGGACCGCAUGCGUUAAGCAUGAGGAAGGUGUAGGCUACGACAGGUCUGUACGACCCGAAUCUUCUGGGAUACACGCGGCAUGCAUUGGUUAGGACAAAGGGCUGCAACUCCGAAAGGAGAAGCUAAUCCCUAAACCUAAUCUUGUCUGAAUUGAGGCUUGCAACCCAGCCUCACGAAACCGAAAUCCCUAGUAACCGUGCGUUAGCAUCGUGCGGUGAAUACGUCCCUGCCCCUGGCACAC